AAUACAAAAUUAAAUUUUUAAAAGAUUAUUUUAAUAUAAAUUUAGUGAAUUUUCAGUUCUGAUUAUAAUGAGGACUAGGCUACUAUGCUAUUAAUAGCAUCAAGUCAUUUGUGUUACCAAGUUUUUGGCCAUUGGAUUAAGAAAUGUGUGGUUAGGAUGAUGUGGGCCCCCUAGGGUUGAGUGGGUGAUUGGCUGAAUAGUAUGAUCUAAUGGGUGAAAAUGAUCAAAAGGGUAGAUCUAACGGUGAAAAACUUGGUAGCACCAAGUGCUUCGUACUAUUAAUAGCAUAGUAGCUGGACUGUUAUAAUGAAGACUUUUCUAAUAAGGUAUUUGGAAGAAAGCCCUUCUUUCAGAGGCGUUAUUCCGGCUUACUACUGCAUGACACAAUAAAAAUAGAGAAAAUUUCCUGUGUGUCCCUCUUAAAAACAUAUAUUUACCUGUGUGUCCCUCUAAAAGCACAUAUUUACAUAGAUACCCCUAUAAAAAUUGAAAUAUCUUAGAUAUCCCUCUAAAUAUAAAAAACUUUCAAAAAUACCCUUCAAAAUAAAUUUCUGUUAAAAUUCAUAGUAACAGUAACCAAAAUACCAAUUUUACUAUGACGCCCCAACUUUCCAGGAGUUCACCCAAUGCUAAGACUACUCCCGUUCUAACACACUUUUCUCUUUUAACCUCUUGGACCAAGCCACCACCCAAAAUGUUUAACCCGAAUUAAAAAUUUUAGCCCUAUUAUUUUAUAUAUAGGACUAACUGGGGUCUCACAUUUACCCUUUUCAUAAUUGCCCUUCUAAAUGUUGCAAUUACUAGUA
rnacentral:lncRNA from 1 species